rnacentral:rRNA from 1 species
AGCGAACGCUGGCGGCAGGCUUAACACAUGCAAGUCGAGCGGGCACCUUCGGGUGUCCGCGGCAGACGGGUGAGUAACACGUGGGAACGUACCCUUCGGUUCGGAAUAACGCUGGGAAACUAGCGCUAAUACCGGAUACGCCCUUAUGGGGAAAGGUUUACUGCCGAAGGAUCGGCCCGCGUCUGAUUAGCUAGUUGGUGGGGUAACGGCCUACCAAGGCGACGAUCGGUAGCUGGUCUGAGAGGAUGAUCAGCCACACUGGGACUGAGACACGGCCCAGACUCCUACGGGAGGCAGCAGUGGGGAAUAUUGGACAAUGGGCGCAAGCCUGAUCCAGCCAUGCCGCGUGAGUGAUGAAGGCCUUAGGGUUGUAAAGCUCUUUUGUCCGGGACGAUAAUGACGGUACCGGAAGAAUAAGCCCCGGCUAACUUCGUG